rnacentral:rRNA from 1 species
GACGAACGCUGGCGGCGUGCCUAAUACAUGCAAGUCGAGCGGACUUUCAAGAAGCUUGCUUUUUGAAAGUUAGCGGCGGACGGGUGAGUAACACGUGGGCAACCUGCCUGCAAGACGGGGAUAACUCCGGGAAACCGGGGCUAAUACCGGAUAAUAUCUUCCUUCGCAUGAAGGAAGGUUGAAAGGCGGCGCAAGCUGCCGCUUGCAGAUGGGCCCGCGGCGCAUUAGCUAGUUGGUGAGGUAACGGCUCACCAAGGCGACGAUGCGUAGCCGACCUGAGAGGGUGAUCGGCCACACUGGGACUGAGACACGGCCCAGACUCCUACGGGAGGCAGCAGUAGGGAAUCUUCCGCAAUGGACGAAAGUCUGACGGAGCAACGCCGCGUGAGCGAAGAAGGUCUUCGGAUCGUAAAGCUCUGUUGUCAGGGAAGAACAAGUACCGUUCGAACAGGGCGGUACCUUGACGGUACCUGACCAGAAAGCCACGGCUAACUACUUG